AGUGAACGCUGGCGGUAGGCCUAACACAUGCAAGUCGAACGGCAGCACAGUAAGAGCUUGCUCUUACGGGUGGCGAGUGGCGGACGGGGGAGGAAUACAUCGGAAUCUACUUUUUCGUUGGGGAUAAUGUCGGGAAAUUUACGCUAAUACCGCAUACGACCUACGUGUGUAGGCCGGGGAUCUUCGGACCUUGCGCGAUUGAAUGAGCCGAUGUCGGAUUAGCUAGUUGGCGGGGUAAAGGCCCACAUAGGCGACGAUCCGUAGCUGGUCUGAGAGGAUGAUCAGCCACACUGGAACUGAGACACGGUCCAGACUCCGACGGUAGGCAGCAGUGGGGAAUAUUGGACAAUGGGGGCAAGCCGGAUCCAGCCAUACCGCCUAGGUGAUGAAGGCCUUCGGGUGGUAAAGCCCUUUUGUUGGGAAAGAAAAGCAGCAGGUUAAUACCCCGCGGUUCUGACGGUACCCAGAGAAUAAGCACCGGCUAACUUCGUG
rnacentral:rRNA from 1 species